CCGUUCAGGGGUAAACCUAAGAAACCCAAAAGAUCGAACGGGGAGAUUCAUCGUCAGCGGCGCUGGCUUCGCGUCGGUGGGCGAUGUCCCGCGGAGUCCUCGCGGCUCGCGCGCGGGCACGCUACCGUGCGUCGAUGUCCGGCGCUCGUCGUCGUGCACUUCUCCCCAAGUAGAACGUCGCGACCCGCUGGGUGUCGGUCUACGGCCCGGGUGCGGUGACUGUCGCGUCGCCGGUAAAACGGCACGCGACAAACCCUCGGUCGCCCGGCCGGCUGCUCGGCGGUACGCGCAAGGUAUCAGGCCGCACUCGAUCAAUUUCUAUCGGUGCGUCGAGACCGUCGCAAGCGCGCGCCACGGUACUCGGAGGUUACGGACUUCGCGCCGUCCCCGGUCCUGGCCCGCUGNUGGUUAAAGUACGGUACACCUUCGACAGGCCUUCGAACGUCUCCCGGUAAAACGGGAGACCGAUACCGGUCGGCGACGCUACUGCUUUGGGUACUCUUAGGACCCGUCUUGAACACGGACCAAGG
rnacentral:rRNA from 1 species